rnacentral:rRNA from 1 species
GAUGAACGCUGACAGAAUGCUUAACACAUGCAAGUCGAUGGGGAAGUGGUGCUUGCACCAUGGCAACCAUGGCGGACGGGUGAGUAACGCGUAAGGGACUUACCUGCAGGACUGGGAUAACAGGGGGAAACUCCUGACAAGACCGGAUAAUGUCAUGGAGCUGCAUGGCUUUAUGAUGAAAGGAGACGCCUGCGGAGAGCCUUGCGUCCUAUUAGCUAGUUGGUGAGGUAAUGACUCACCAAGGCGAAGAUAGGUAGCCGGCCUGAGAGGGUGGACGGCCACAAGGGGACUGAGAUACGGCCCUUACUCCUACGGGAGGCAGCAGUGGGGAAUAUUGGACAAUGGGGGCAACCCUGAUCCAGCAAUUCUGUGUGCACGAAGAAGGUUUUCGGAUUGUAAAGUGCUUUCAGCAGGGAAGAAGUAAGUGACGGUACCUGAAGAAGAAGCGACGGCUAAAUACGUG